AAUACCAUCAGGUACAAACUUAAAUAACAUGGCGGUAACUAUAAAAAUUAGGGGAACUUACCAUAUAAAUGAUACCCACCACGAAAAUUUACUUCAGGUAAAAUUUUGUAUGCCGCCGUCGUCAGGUAAAAUUUAAAAUCUUUACCUUAAAAUUAACCUAUAAAAAGACAGGUCAAGGUGCAAACUAUCUUGAAGACAUGGCGAGUUACAUUAGUAAAUUGCUUCCAUAUUAAAUGUAAAACUUUCAUUGGUCGGACUUAAAAGUAAGUUAUAAUAAAAUU
rnacentral:rRNA from 1 species